rnacentral:lncRNA from 1 species
AACAGUAAAUCAGUGGCAAUUACUGCCACUUGUAGCAGUAGUCUUCUGUACCUGCCAACAUCUGUGUGUGGUGCUUGGUGGUAGGAUGUGUACAGAGCAGACAGCUGGGCAUAGCUGUCUUCCUACUCCUGUUUUGUCUUGUUGAUAUGGUGAAGGCUGUAGAUUCUCAGUCUGUUGGGAUUCAAAGAAUUGGGCCUUUCUCUGAUACUGCUUGUCUGGUCCAUAACUCCCUACAACACUAAGGCUCCCAUAUGGAUUUCUUUCACCUUCUGUUUUAGCUCCAUACUCUGCAGAUUGCAAAUAAGCCUGUUAAGUCUCCUGCAGUGAUUGUGAGAUACUUUAGCACCUGUCUCCUCACACUUGCCUACUGCAAUGAUAUGUCUCACACAGUAGUGCUGCUGCUGCUACCUUUCCUUCCCUCAGGGCUCCCAUCCACACACUCUUGACCAACAGCUCUGCAGUCUGUCCCCCAGCUGCACCUGCACAGAUUGGAUGUGUCAUAAAAUAGCUAAAUCCCAGCUGGGUGGUCCCAGCAUGGAGCAUUUACGCAGUUCUUCAGAAACAGAUGCAGCUCUUAGCAGAGACUACAAUGAAGGAGACUACAGGGUAGCAAGCAAGGCACAACAGUCUCCUUUCUGCCUCACCCAGUCUUUCCUCAGUGCUUCCUGGCAGCUCUUCUUGCUUUGUGACUCGAGUAUGAAGAGCACCUCCUUACUCCAGGCUGAGGACCAUGGAGUCUUACAAACUGCCUGUUCACCAACUGUUAUGAAGAGGGACAUUUGA